rnacentral:snoRNA from 1 species
CAGCAUGUUUCCAAGGGCUGUGGUUGGCUAUGGCCAUGGAAUCUUCAACAGCACUGGAGAGCAACCCCAGGAGACUUUGAUAGCACAGGUCUGUGUAAUACCUACCUGCAGCUGCUAGAACAGCUCAGGGGAGAAA